AGGAGGUCUACUAAUGUGCUGCCUAUACCUUUUAUUUCUUUCCGUCCAUAUAUGCCACGACAAGCACCCAAUAGCAUUCCAUAUUAACCCCCAAGGGGGGGAGUGACGCGUAAUCUUUUGUGCUGCUUCCGUCAGAUCUCCCAAUCUAAUAUCUGGACUUGAUUGGGUAGGAACUGGAAUAUUCAUUAUUUUCCAGAAAGCGAAAUCCAGCUGUUCCACCAACGAAAUUAAGAGAGAUCUGGAAUAAGAACAGUUAAAGAAAAGAUGACUCCUAG
rnacentral:lncRNA from 1 species